rnacentral:lncRNA from 1 species
UUUGGUCACCUGGUUGAGGAUUAAGGAUGAGACUCGUAAGCAUGACCAAAAUGAGAAGGUGAACGCUGUCCCCAGGAAGAAGCCCACUAAUGUUCUAAAACAAGACCUGAAACCAAAAGGGAACAGAAUGAAGGUUCAGAAUCGAGCUCCCAACAACCAGAAAAAUUCUCAUAAACCCCAAUCCAGACGUACAAAACAAAUUAUGUGCUUUAAUUGUAAUAAACCUGAACACUUAGCUAGAAACUAUAGAAAUAGAAAUCGUUCUACUAUGCAGGUGAACCUAAUAGAAGAAGAUUUAGUAGCUAUGAUCAUAGAGACAUAUGUAAUCAACAGGUCUCUAUCUAUUUGAGAUAGAAAGUACUUUCUAUCUCAAAUAGAUAGUGAUAGUGACCUAUCUCUAUCUAUUUGGGAUAGAAAAUGACAUAAAUCUCUAUCAUUGUCCCCCAUCUAAAAAAAAUCAGCAAAAUUAAACAAAUGGAUCGACGUUAGAGUUUAUGAAUCAUAAUUUUUUAUUUAUUAUUGUAACGACCCAACUUUUCUAAGUAAGUCGAGAUCGUUAAUUUUUAUCAAAUAAAAGACUUUGAUUAAUAUAAAACAAAACGUAAGCAAUUUAAAAAAAACAUCUUCAAGUCAGGCCUGAUUUUUAAACAUUCAAGAAAACAUAAAAUAAUAUUAUUUACAACAAACGUUUGUAAACUAAAUUUCAAUUCAUUUUAAACCUCACAAGAACCCAUAAGCGGAAGCAAAAACACGUUUCCUAUGGCACCACGCUUCCUUCCUACCCCUUGCCGGUUUGCCGCUUUUAUUACCUUUGCUGGUCUCGUCAGGAUGAGUACUUAAAUACUCAGUAAGAGACUCUCUACUGUCUCGUUAGGGGAAAAUAAAUUGUUAACGUUCUAUUGGAACACCAUGUACAGUCGCAGUCUUGUGAUCCUGUAGGAUACACAUCUCAGUCUAACGCCUCGAGGGACGUACAUAUCAGUCUAGUGUUCUGCAGAAACACAUAUCAGUCUAAUGCUCCCGAAGGUGCACAAUAAAUUGGUGAUCCCGUGGGGCACCUACAAGGUAAACAUCCCAAUACAAUCUAACAAUUUUCCCCUCAUUUCAUUCAAUCCAUCUUUUAAUUACUUCAAGACACAAAGUUCUUUCUUUCAACGUCCUAACAGUCAACUUAUUUUACUUCAGUCAUAUGUCUGUCAAUAUUAUGCUAAUACAUCAGUCAAUCAAACUAUACAGUCAACACACCCCUCAAUCAAACUAUACAGUCAACACACCCCUCAAUCAAACUAUACAGUCAACACACCCCUCAGUUCGUCGGCACACAGUCAUACUUUAACGUAACGUACACCCAAUCUAAACGAAAAUCACAAGUUCACAUCUCCAUCUCAUACAAACACAAUCUACAAUCUUCGUCCUGUCCACAUACACACUUAUAUAUAUAUUCCAUGACAAUCACGAUAUACAUUCGACGUCAAGUCUACUUCAAUUCAUAUGCAUUCAUAUAUAUUUUCAGUCAAUCCACAGUAUACAUUUAACACAUACAAUUCACAGUCAUAAGUGAGUAGAAAAUCCCUUAUCCCUUAUUUUCCUCAACGUAAGUUUCAACUCAACUCACCUCACCGAUAUAAUGGCGAACUGAACCUUCAAUAAUUCACAAUCUGGUUGUGAAUGUAAGGGAGCCUAACGUUACUCCCAACACCUCAUCGCACGACUGUCGAACUCGCAGCAAAAUCCUAAGUGUGGGUCGGUCAGCGGUCGGCCAAAGGGGACGUGGCGGCUGGGCUUCACGGAUGGAGACCGUCGCGAACAGACCGCGAAUCUGAACGGUUACAGCAACUAGUCGGCCGACGUUGAUCGCAGGUGGAGCGGCGGUUGUGAGCGGGGAGCGUGGUCGACGGAGACAGAACCGGCGGAGACGGUUGCAGAACCGCGGCUUCGACGGAGACAGAACCGGCGAUGGAGACGGCUGGGCAGCGGCGGAAGGUCUUGCGGUACAGAUCUGGACGGCGGCCGCAAGGUGACGCGUACGGCUGCCUCGCGAACUGGCCAACGGUUGCAGCGACGUCCGACUGGGUUUGGACGGAACGGAGAGGAGAAGAGAAGAUGGAGAUGGCCGGCGGCGGUUACUGCGCGAACGGAGAGAAGGGAACGGAUGGGGCGGCUGGGCUGCGACUGGGCUGCGGCGGGAAGAAAACGGAAGAGAAAGGAUCGGCGGCUGGGCUGCGGCUGGGCACGAACGGAAGGAGAAGAGGAAUGGAGACGGCCGGCGGCGGUUGCUGCGAACGGGAAGGAGAAGGGAGAAGGGAUCGACGGUCGCACGGGGAAAAAGAAGGGAGAAAAGAAAAGAAAAAGAAAAAGAAAAGAAAAAAAAUAAUAAAAAAUUUCUUUAUUAUUAUUUUUAUUUAUUUAUUUAAAUUAAUAAAAAUAAUAUAUAUAACUUUCCUUUUUUUUUUCUUUUGGGGCAUGUUGUUGAGUUGUAAAUAUUUUUAAUGGUACCAUCAAUUUUCAAGCACACAAACUAUUAAGUAUUAUAUCAUAUUUAGCUUUCUCAAAAACCCUAUGAUAAUAUUAUAUCUCUCUUUACAAUGAUAAAACUAUAUAUUUGUCUCAGAUAAACAACAAUAAUGGUCUAUCUCUGUCUAUCUAGAAUAGAUAGAGAUAGAGCUUUAUCACUUUCUAUCUCAAAUAGAUAGUGAUGGUGGCAGAUCUCUAUCUAUCUAGGAUAGAAAGAAAAAAAGAUCAUUAUAUUGUCCAAGACCUAUUGAGUUAUGCAUGAUGGUCAAUAAUCGUAGAUUGAGAUUCACAAAAAUUGUACGGACGGAGGUAUUUUUGGUAUUUCAC